AUGUGCAUCCUCCAUAGAUUCGGUGACACCUCAGGCCCGCGGAUAAACCUUGCAAAAUCCACGACCACGCCGAUCCACUACAACAACAUCGACCUAGGGUGAGUUCUUCAAGCUUUCCGCGGCCCGAUCGCCCAUUUUCCGAUUAGAUACCUAGGUCUACCCCUCACGACGGGCCGGCUUCGACUAGUCCAUCUACAAUUCAUCCUCGACCGGAUCCGUGCCCGGCUGGCGGGUUGGAAGGGACGAAUGCUCUCCAUUGCGGGCAGGCGCAUCCUCGUGUGCUGCGUCCUCACUGCCCUACCAACCUUCGCUCUCACCGUGCUGCGAGUCCCCAUGAAGCUCCUGAAGGAAAUUGACAAAUGCAGACGAAGUUUUCUAUGGGGGAAGGACCGAGAGCUCUCUGGCGGCAGCUGCAAGGUCAACUGGGAACGAGUCUGCUCCUCAAUCGAGCAUGGCGGGCUCGGUGUACUAAACCUAUCAAAGUUCAGUCACGCGCUCCGGCUGCGUUGGCUCUGGCACAACUGGAAAACUGCCUCUCGCCACUGGGUGGGAACGGAGCCCCCGUGCGAUGCCUCAAACCAAGCACUGUUUAACGCCGCAAUGACGGUGACCAUUGGCAAUGGCAAGAUGGCGAGCUUCUGGCAUAGCUCAUGGCUAGGGCCAGUGCUGUUGAAGUUCUGCUUCGCAACCCUCUUCAAACAUUCAAGGCUCAAGGGCAGAACGCUGGCUCAGGCUAUUGCCGGAGAUCGAUGGGUCAUGGACCUGGUGCAUGGCAACACAAACGACCUAGUCAGCAAGGUUUUAAACCUGCAUCAUCUUAUUUAG
rnacentral:rRNA from 1 species